rnacentral:rRNA from 1 species
UACAGAGGGUGCAAGCGUUAAUCGGAAUCAUUGGGCGUAAAGCGAGCGUAGGCGGCCCGAUAAGUCUGCUGUAAAAGUCAACGGCUCAACCGUUGAAAGCCGGUGGAUACUGUCGGGCUAGAGUUCGGAAGAGGCAAGUGGAAUUCCUGGUGUAGCGGUGGAAUGCGCAGAUAUCAGGAGGAACACCUAUAGCGAAGGCAGCUUGCUGGGACGAUACUGACGCUAAGGCUCGAAAGCGUGGGGAGCGAACAGG